rnacentral:tRNA from 1 species
UGGCUAAUGCCUCCAUAGUCGCCUUGACGAGGCGAAGGUCGAGGGUUCAAAUCCCUCCGAGCCCA